rnacentral:rRNA from 1 species
UUGACCUCAGGUCAAGCAAGAUUACCUGCUGAAUUUAA